rnacentral:misc_RNA from 1 species
GGAGUAAAAGUCGUAACAAGGUUUCCGUAGGUGAACCUGCGGAAGGAUCAUUAUUGAAUGAAACACUUCUGGCUUUAUGCUGUUGUGCUGGCCCUCUGGGCAAUGUGCACACGGCUCUGGUCACUUGUUUCUUCUGUUCCACCUGUGCACUGCCUGUAGACACGCUGUGUCUAUGAUAUUUGUUAACACACAACAAUGUUAGUUGGCAUGUUAUAUAUAAUAAUAAAAUAUACAACUUUCAACAACGGAUCUCUUGGCUCUC